CGCCGCCAUUGCUGCUGCCUGAAGCCGGCUGAUUUGUUUGAAUUUAUCGCUGAGAUGCAACCAGAUCUGAGGAAGAACAAAAUAUAGGUAAUAUUGAAUAGAAAUCGAAGAAGGGGAAGAGAAGAAACGAUGAAGAGUUAAAAUGCAAAGGUUUCAGUGAAAUGGAUUCCCGUUUUCUCCCUUUGUUUCUUCAUUAUUGGCAUGGUUUUCACCAGCAAUACGUGUUUUUACCGAGAAUUAUUGAUUUUUUUCCCUAAAACUUUGGGGGAUUUAGCUGUAAUUUAUACCGUUUGUUUUUAUUUUUUGUCUUGCUUUGAAUUUGCAGAUUUUGUGGUUCGUUGGAAUCGAAUAAUCAGCUCAUAACUCAACAAAGAAUUAUGAGCAACAUUAUUGUUAUCUGUGUCGAAUGAGGCUGUUUCUAGAAGUGUGAAGUCGGUGUUCAAAGCUUGGGAGCAGCGGCUUAACUCUUCAGAGAAUGACAACCAAUUUUU